rnacentral:rRNA from 1 species
UACGUAGGGUGCAAGCGUUAAUCGGAAUUACUGGGCGUAAAGCGUGCGCAGGCGGUUGUGCAAGACAGAUGUGAAAUCCCCGGGCUCAACCUGGGAACUGCAUUUGUGACUGCACGGCUAGAGUGCGGCAGAGGGAGAUGGAAUUCCGCGUGUAGCAGUGAAAUGCGUAGAUAUGCGGAGUAACACCGAUGGCGAAGGCAAUCUCCUGGGCCUGCACUGACGCUCAUGCACGAAAGCGUGGGGAGCAAACAGG